AUUGAACGCUGGCGGCAUGCCUUACACAUGCAAGUCGAACGGCAGCACGGGAGCAAUCCUGGUGGCGAGUGGCGAACGGGUGAGUAAAGCAUCGGAACGUGCCCAGUCGUGGGGGAUAACGUAGCGAAAGCUACGCUAAUACCGCAUACGAUCUGUGGAUGAAAGCGGGGGACCGUAAGGCCUCGCGCGAUUGGAGCGGCCGAGGUCAGAUUAGGUAGUUGGUCAGGUAAAGGCUCACCAAGCCGACGAUCUGUAGCUGGUCUGAGAGGACGACCAGCCACACUGGGACUGAGACACGGCCCAGACUCCUACGGGAGGCAGCAGUGGGGAAUUUUGGACAAUGGGCGCAAGCCUGAUCCAGCAAUGCCGCGUGCAGGAUGAAGGCCUUCGGGUUGUAAACUGCUUUUGUACGGAGCGAAACGGCUUCCACUAAUACUGGGGGCUAAUGACGGUACCGUAAGAAUAAGCACCGGCUAACUACGUGCCAGCAGCCGCCGUAACAC
rnacentral:rRNA from 1 species